rnacentral:lncRNA from 1 species
AGGUGAAAAUAAUCAACUGUAUUUGAAAUUUUGUUUUCUAUAACUAUAAAUGAGUACAUACUUCACAAUUAACAGUUCUAUAAAUCUGAACCUCCUAUAUGUUUCUAAAUUGGGAACAAAACUGCCUCAUACCUCAAAAAGCAGAACUCUUAUUUCCAGGCUACAAGGUCAUAUCUCUAAGUGGCUGCUGAGAAACUAACAAGUUUCAACUAUAAACUUGUUGACAGCUUGACAGUAGGUGCAAUGAUACAGCCAAAGGUGCUGUCCUUCAGAUAACACACAAGCACUUUAGCUUUCUGUUGAAAAAUCACUUCAAAACUUCAAAUGCCAGCUUUAAAAAGCUAAGGAUUCCAUGAAAUCAAUAGUCUGGUCAUGUUCAAAGCUUUAAAUAUCUAACAAUAGGAAGUUAUAUUGCUUCUAAAAAUUGGUAAAAGCAAAUUAUAUUGGCUCACUGAACUCUAGAGAAAAAAAUUAUUUUUCUAAAUAAAACAUCUAUGAGAAGUUACCACAUAUAUAAAUUUUAAAAGAAUUUGCUUCCCAUAACGUGGUUCCUAUUUCCGUAUUCUGUAUUGUGUCACUUUUCUUUAACAACAUGAUCAAGGAAAACUAAAAGCACACAAAAAAGGAAAAUUAUGAAUUCAUAAAGAAAUUUUGUUCUAUAGUUAAUACAUACACCUCACCAUAGAGUAUACCCAUAGCUCAUCAGAGUUGUUUAUUCAAAAUUACAGAUGCCAUUUAUGGCAAAAAUAUGGAGAAAUUCCCACUUUU